AUUUGCACACAUUUUGUGACAAAAAAGUCAACUUCUUUUAGUUUAUUUUUGACAAAAUGGUUAAAACAGAACCAGCAUCAAGUACUCCUAAGCGGAAAGUAGACACUGGCAAUGGUCCAUACGUCUGCAAGUUCACAUUUCAUGAACAGAUUGAGUGAAAUAUGCAAAGAAAGCAGACUGGCUGCAGACCCUGAAAUUCAGAAGUAAAGAAUGCUGUUCUUUUUCUACAGUCAUGGUGUCUGUAAGGGAAACAUAGUUUAAGAGAGUCUUGGAAGACAUUUAAUAAUGUGAAGUAACAGCUGCAGACCGCAGACUUCAGAAAUGCAGGUCUUUAUUCUACAUGUUCAUGAUGUGGAGGGAAACAUAGUGGAUUUUUGAAUUUCACAGCAGUCAUAGAAAACAGUUAUUAA